rnacentral:rRNA from 1 species
AUGUUCCUGCUGUUGACGAAGCAGUGGAUACAUCAUGGAAGAGGGAACCGCCUUGGAAGGCACUUUUCCCAUCCACAGGUUGGUUCUGACAAGCAUCUUGUGAAGCACUUGCAAGUAAGUUACAUACUUAUUCAGGAGGGCCCUGUUCCACUUAUUUAUGUGUAUUUGCCAUCCCUAGGUGGGAACUACGUGCAGUUUGGUGUGUUUGAGCUUUAUGGUGACAGAGCACUUGUGGAUGCGCUUGAUAUAUCUUUAAAGACGACCCUGUCAAUACCAUUGUCUGCUCCUCCAUUUCUUCUCUCCAGGAGAUUUGAUGGCACUAUGCAGGUGGCAGCAUUGUCAUUCAUCAUGGUGUACAUGAGGGCUGUUGAUACGCCGGAUAACUGCUGGUGGAACUUCAGGAUCCCUGAAGCAUCACUCCACCAGCCGGUCAUGCCCCUGAAGAAGUGA